rnacentral:rRNA from 1 species
GAUGAACGCUGGCGGCGUGCCUAAUACAUGCAAGUCGAGCGAACAGACGAGGAGCUUGCUCCUCUGACGUUAGCGGCGGACGGGUGAGUAACACGUGGAUAACCUACCUAUAAGACUGGGAUAACUUCGGGAAACCGGAGCUAAUACCGGAGAAUAUAUUGAACCGCAUGGUUCAAUAGUGAAAGACGGUUUUGCUGUCACUUAUAGAGGGAUCCGCGCCGCAUUAGCUAGUUGGUAAGGUAACGGCUUACCAAGGCAACGAUGCGUAGCCGACCUGAGAGGGUGAUAGGCCACCCUGGAACUGAGCCACGGUCCAGACUCCUACGGGAGGCAGCAGUAGGCAAUCUUCCGCAAUGGGCGAGAGCCUGACGGAGCAACGCCGCGUGAGUGAUGAAGGUCUUCGGAUCGUAAAACUCUGUUAUUAGGGAAGAACAAAUGUGUAAGUAACUAUGCACGUCUUGACGGUACCUAAUCAGAAAGCCCCGGCUAACUACGUG